rnacentral:rRNA from 1 species
AGAGUUUGAUCCUGGCUCAGAAUCAACGCUGGCGGCGCGCCUAACACAUGCAAGUCGAACGAGAAAGCAGGAGCAAUCUUGUGAGUAAAGUGGCGUACGGGUGGGUAACACGUGGAUCAUCUACCCUCUUGUGGGGGAUAACCCUGGGAAACCGGGGCUAAUACCGCAUAAGUCCGAGAGGAGAAAGCAGCAAUGCGCAGGAGGAGGAGUCCGCGGCCGAUUAGCUAGUUGGUAGGGUAAAAGCCUACCAAGGCUACGAUCGGUAGCCGGCCUGAGAGGGCACACGGCCACACUGGCACUGAAACACGGGCCAGACUCCUACGGGAGGCAGCAGUGGGGAAUCUUGCACAAUGGGGGCAACCCUGAUGCAGCGACGCCGCGUGAGCGAUGAAGCCCUUCGGGGUGUAAAGCUCUUUCGGCAGGGAAGAUUAUGACGGUACCUGCAGAAGCAGCUGCGGCUAACUACGUGCCAGCAGCCGCGGUAAUACGUAGGCAGCAAGCGUUGUUCGGAGUUACUGGGCGUAAAGGGUGUGUAGGCGGUUCUCUAAGUCUGGUGUGAAAUCUCCCGGCUCAACUGGGAGGGUGCGCCGAAAACUGGAGGGCUAGAGUGCGGGAUGGGAGAGUGGAAUUCCUGGUGUAGCGGUGAAAUGCGUAGAUAUCAGAGGAACACCUGUGGUGUAGACGGCUCUCUGGACCGCAACUGACGCUGAAACACGAAAGCGUGGGUAGCAAACAGGAUUAGAUACCCUGUAGUCCACGCCCUAACGAUGCAUAUUUGUGUGGGCCAUUCAUUUGGUCUGUGCCGAGCUAACGCGUUAAAUAUGCCGCUGGGAGUACGUCGCAGCUGAAACUCAAGAUUGACGGGGGCCCGCACAAGCGGUGGAGCAUGUUGUUCAUUCGACGCACGCGAAGAACCUA